rnacentral:rRNA from 1 species
GAGUUUGAUCCUGGCUCAGAUUGAACGCUGGCGGCAUGCCUUACACAUGCAAGUCGAGCGGCAGCGCGGGGGCAACCCUGGCGGCGAGCGGCGAACGGGUGAGUAAUGCAUCGGAACGUGUCCUCUUGUGGGGGAUAACCAGUCGAAAGACUGGCUAAUACCGCAUGAGAUCGAGAGAUGAAAGCAGGGGACCGCAAGGCCUUGCGCGAGAGGAGCGGCCUAUGCCGGAUUAGCUAGUUGGUGGGGUAAAGGCCUACCAAGGCGACGAUCCGUAGCUGGUCUGAGAGGACGACCAGCCACACUGGGACUGAGACACGGCCCAGACUCCUACGGGAGGCAGCAGUGGGGAAUUUUGGACAAUGGGGGAAACCCUGAUCCAGCCAUGCCGCGUGUGUGAAGAAGGCCUCGGUUGUAAG